UGGAAGGCUGAAGAUACACAGAAUAAUUUGAGAUUUUACUUUUCUGUCACUCAAACUUCCUAUAUUAAACAAGACUUUCUGAUGACUACAAAUAUUCUAGUUUAAAUUGUAGACAGAUACGAAGUUAACAAAC